AGUGUCGGACGGGUGAGUAACGCGUGAGAAUCUGCCUUUGGGUCGGGGACAACCACUGGAAACGGUGGCUAAUACCGGAUAAGCCGAUUGGUGAAAGAUUUAUUGCCCGAAGAGGAGCUCGCGUCUGAUUAGCUAGUUGGUGAGGUAAGAGCUCACCAAGGCAGCGAUCAGUAGCUGGUCUGAGAGGACGAUCAGCCACACUGGGACUGAGACACGGCCCAGACUCCUACGGGAGGCAGCAGUGGGGAAUUUUCCGCAAUGGGCGAAAGCCUGACGGAGCAAGACCGCGUGAGGGAGGAAGGCUCUUGGGUUGUAAACCUCUUUUCUCAGGGAAGAAGCUCUGACGGUACCUGAGGAAUCAGCCUCGGCUAACUCCGUGCCAGCAGCCGCGGUAAUACGGAGGAGGCAAGCGUUAUCCGGAAUUAUUGGGCGUAAAGCGUCCGCAGGUGGCGAUUCAAGUCUGCUGUCAAAGCACGGGGCUUAACUCCGUAAAGGCAGUGGAAACUGAAUAGCUAGAGUGCCGUAGGGGUAGAGGGAAUUCCCGGUGUAGCGGUGAAAUGCGUAGAGAUCGGGAAGAACAUCGGUGGCGAAAGCGCUCUACUGGACGGCAACUGACACUCAGGGACGAAAGCUAGGGGAGCGAAUGGGAUUAGAUACCCC
rnacentral:rRNA from 1 species